GAUGAGCUCUCUGCAUUGCUGAAUAAACUUGAGGAAAAGGAGGGGGAAUUCUCAUCCCAGAUGGAAGCUCUGACCACAAAGAUAAGCAAUAUGCAGCUUGAAAUUGAAUCCUUAAGUGAACUGAAAGGCAAAUUGGAGGAGGAAAUGGAACAACAAAGAAACAAGAUGUCAGCUGAGGUUGAGGACUUAACAAACAAGGUGAAUAAGAAGGACCUAGAAUUGGAGUCUCUUUGCAGCCAGAAACUUGAAUUGGAAGCAGAAUUGGAGAAGAAAACACAAGAAAUUUCAGGAUUCUCAAGUGAGAUAGAGAGUCUCAA
rnacentral:misc_RNA from 1 species